GACGAACGCUGGCGGCGUGCUUAACACAUGCAAGUCGAACGGAAAGGCCCCUUUGGGGGUCCUCGAGUGGCGAUCGGGUGCGUAACACGUGAGUAACCUGCCCUUGACUUCGGGAUAACUUCAGGAAACUGGGGCCAAUACCGGAUAGGAAUCCUUGCUGCAUGGUGGGGGUUGGAAAGCUUCGGCGGUUUUGGAUGGACUCGCGGCUUAUCAGCUUGUUGGUGGGGUAGUGGCUUACCAAGGCUUUGACGGGUAGCCGGCCUGAGAGGGCGACCGGCCACAUUGGGACUGAGAUACGGCCCAGACUCCUACGGGAGGCAGCAGGGGGGAAUAUUGCACAAUGGGCGGAAGCCUGAUGCAGCAACGCCGCGUGCUGGAUGACGGCCUUCGGGUUGUAAACCGCUUUCAGCAGGGGCGAAGCUUGUGGUGACGGUACCUGCAGAAGAAGCACCGGCUAACUACGUG
rnacentral:rRNA from 1 species